rnacentral:rRNA from 1 species
GAUGAACGCUAGCGGCAGGCCUAAUACAUGCAAGUCGAACGUGAUUGUUGUAGCAAUAUGACAUGAAAGUGGCGCACGGGUGCGUAACACGUAUGCAAUCUACCUCUAAUAGAGGGAUAGCUUCGAGAAAUCGGAAUUAAUACCCCAUAACAUUACGAAAUGGCAUCAUUUUGUAAUCAAACCUCCGGGGAUUAGAGAUGAGCAUGCGGAACAUUAGCUAGAUGGUGAGGUAAUAGCUCACCAUGGCUACGAUGUUUAGGUGGUAUGAGAGGAUGAAACACCGAAAUGGUACUGGGACACGGACCGGACUCCUACGGGAGGCAGCAGUAGGGAAUAUUGGGCAAUGGAGGCAACUCUGACCCAGCCAUGCCGCGUGCAGGAUGACGGCCCUCGGGGUUGUAAACUGCUUUUAUACGGGAAGAAAAAAUACUACGUGUAGUAUACUGACGGUACCGUAAGAAUAAGGAUCGGCUAACUCCGUGCCAGCCGCCGCCGUAACAC